AGCGGAGUCAAUGUCGCCUCCUGCCAGGAGUUCGUCAUCUUAGCGGCGUGAGCCAGCAUUAACUCGGGACUUUCACAAGACUGGACCCAUUAACUUCCCAUUAUGGAGGUGAGGGAUUAGUGCACAUCAGGAACUCACAGAAUUCUGG